rnacentral:rRNA from 1 species
AUGAACGCUGGCGGCGUGCCUAAUACAUGCAAGUCGAGCGAACAGACGAGGAGCUUGCUCCUCUGACGUUAGCGGCGGACGGGUGAGUAACACGUGGAUAACCUACCUAUAAGACUGGGAUAACUUCGGGAAACCGGAGCUAAUACCGGAUAAUAUAUUGAACCGCAUGGUUCAAUAGUGAAAGACGGUUUUGCUGUCACUUAUAGAUGGAUCCGCGCCGCAUUAGCUAGUUGGUAAGGUAACGGCUUACCAAGGCAACGAUGCGUAGCCGACCUGAGAGGGUGAUCGGCCACACUGGAACUGAGACACGGUCCAGACUCCUACGGGAGGCAGCAGUAGGGAAUCUUCCGCAAUGGGCGAAAGCUUGACGGAGCAACGCCGCGUGAGUGAUGAAGGUCUUCGGAUCGUAAAACUCUGUUAUUAGGGAAGAACAAAUGUGUAAGUAACUAUGCGCGUCUUGACGGUACCUAAUCAGAAAGCCACGGCUAACUACGUG